rnacentral:tRNA from 1 species
GCUGGCGUAGCUCAGUGGUAGAGCAGCUGCCUUGUAAGCAGCAGGUCGUGGGUUCGAUCCCCACCGCCAGCU